GAUGAACGCUGGCGGCGUGCCUAAUACAUGCAAGUCGAGCGAAUGGAUUAAGAGCUUGCUCUUAUGAAGUUAGCGGCGGACGGGUGAGUAACACGUGGGUAACCUGCCCAUAAGACUGGGAUAACUCCGGGAAACCGGGGCUAAUACCGGAUAACAUUUUGAACCGCAUGGUUCGAAAUUGAAAGGCGGCUUCGGCUGUCACUUAUGGAUGGACCCGCGUCUGAUUAGCUAGUUGGUGAGGUAACGGCUCACCAAGGCAACGAUGCGUAGCCGACCUGAGAGGGUGAGCGGCCACACGGGGACUGAGCCACGGCCCAGACUCCUACGGGAGGCAGCAGUAGGGAAUCUUCCGCAAUGGACGAAAGUCUGACGGAGCAACGCCGCGUGAGUGAUGAAGGCUUUCGGGUCGUAAAACUCUGUUGUUAGGGAAGAACAAGUGCUAGUUGAAUAAGCUGGCACCUUGACGGUACCUAACCAGAAAGCCACGGCUAACUACGUGCCAGCCGCCGCGGUAA
rnacentral:rRNA from 1 species